rnacentral:tRNA from 1 species
GGUUCUUUAGCUCAGUCGGUAGAGCGCAUGGCUGUUAACCGUGAAGUCGUCGGUUCAAACCCGACAAGAACCG